GUCACACUGUUGGCUCAUGUCAAGUUAUCAGGUAGUUAAAGUUUGGUGAGCACCCUUAGCGUGAAGGGUAGUAAUCCCGAGACUUGUCUUCAGUGGACUUGCUGGGAGGGUAAGGAGCAGCAUUGUAACACCUGCUUGGAGUUGUGGUGCCCUGGAAGGUCUCUCUACUCACCGGAAAGGGUGGGACUUAAGGGAAGGGGUAGAUGAAAUAUUGCCUCUUAUCCUUGGUUUUACCCAGUCUGCUUUGUGCACCUUGGUUCUGCACUGCAGAUCUGUUGCAUUGAAUAAGUCAGGCCCAGUUCACCUAACCUUUGUGUCUUGCCGUAUUAUUUCCCUAGGUGGCUGCAAUUCAGCCUAUAGGUGCCACACUUCCCUGCAAUACAGUCCUAAAUACCUAGGACUGUGCAAAUUUUUGAGGCUGCCUAUGUUAGCUGGUGAUCCUCAGUCUGUUUCAGUUGCCUAAAGUUCACAAAUGAAAAAAACGCAUUAUUUUAUUUCAUUUCAUUUGAGAAACUAGGUAUUCCUCUCUGCUCUUCUAUGCUGAUUUUUUUCUGCUGGAAAUCUUGGAGCUUCUGACUAGAUAUAGUUAGAAGAAGCUUAAUUAUUUUAUAUUUUCAUGGGGAUUUGAUGGCGAGUGUUGUGUGUUUGUGUGCAUGGAACUGAGGGACAGGUAUUUAAAGUUGUUGGUAAUUUGUUUUCUGGGUGUUUAAAUUAGCAUAUUGUUAAUUAAAUGAGUGUCUGACAUCUGGCAGGAUAUAAGCCUUCUAGUCCUUAAUUCUGUGUAAAGCUUCUCUGCUAAGCCAAAUUAUUGGUGCCAUUUGGGAGUAUUGUAGCUUUCAUCAGAGAUUGCAAAGCACUCUCCAACAAUUUCUGUUGCAAGCAUCUUCUAUUAUGCUUUCUGUAGCAACUUGCAGUGUGGUCAAUGAGUUCAUCGGCUCAAGGAAGUGAAGGCUUUCAGACCCACUUAGGCUUGAAUUUCCAAUGUCCCUACCUCCUACUUCUCCUUUACCUAAGGAGUAGUUCCAAAAAUAUAGUUAAAUUGGUAUCCUUUUAGGUAGUGGAAAUUUAAUACAAGUGAAAAGCUGAAGACAGCGCAUGGAUUUGGGCAGCUUAUUACAGAGAGCAAGAUAAAGUCAGACAAGAAUUUUUAAAAGACAGCUAUUACCCCACAGGCAGAUUUUCACAAUCAAAUGCAAAUGUGAACUUUAGUACCUGCCCUUCUGUAAGUACCUUUCCACUUUCUGCAAUAAGAAGUUUGCUCUCUCCAUAUAUCUAGGUUUCUUUUACUAAUCUCAAACAAGUUUUGACUCUUGUUCAAUAAAGUUUUCCAACGGCAUCCACUGAUGCUUGGCUUUCCAGUUCCCAGUGCGCACACAAUGCUGUAGACUCCGCAGACUGUGUCAAAUGGAUGUUAUGUCAAUUGGAAAUGGAUCCAAGUGAAGGUUUAUCACUAUAACAAAUGAGAGAGAGGAAUACCAUGCAGCCACUCAUGAACUCUACUGACAGGCCUGCCUGAGUGUUGAGGAAGCCUUGCUCCUGGUGCCACUGUGAAAAGAGGGACAAUGGUGCAUGGAAGGAGCUUUUCAGUGAUAGCUCCCAGGUUGUGGAAUGCCCAACGCUUUGCUCCAACAUUGUAUGGUUUUCAUUGGCAGGUCAAGUCGCACUUCUUUGUCUAGGCUUUAAGAGAGGUGAGGUGACAUUUUACAUCCUUUUCUGUAUUGCUACCUUCUCUACUGUAUAAUGCCGCUGCGAUAAUUUUUACUGUAAUUUUAGAUAUUACGUUUUUCUGGUUUCAUCUUCUGACAUCACCCAUACUUGGGCUGUUGGGUGAAGGACUGGUAAUAAAUUCAGUCAGUCAGUCAGUCAGUCAGUCAGUCAGUCAGUCAAGGACUCAGUAAGUAUGCCAGGCUAAUUCCAUUAUAUUCUAUAACAUACCCUCCAAUAUGAAGCAGUCACGUGACUCAUGUUAGAAUGUGUGGCCCCUCCCCAAAAAGUGCUUCUUCCAGGGACAGUGCCCCAAAAUGAGCACGAGUGCGGCCUGAAAUUAUGUGAGAUUGCAGCAGCCAUUUGGGCUGCUGUCCUUCCAUGAGAAAAAAAUUGGAUAUCCUGUUUUUCUCCGGGACAGUUGACGGGUAUGCUAUAACUAGUUCGUCCAACAUGUGGGAUAAAAGGCAGAAGCAUUGCACUGGGUGGGGCAGAGCCAUUUCGCUACCUUGUUGGCAAGUGGGUCCCUGGGUACAAAUGCACCAGUGGAGCCAAUCUGAUGCUCCUGCUGGUAUGUUUGCAUAUACCAUAUGGACCUCUCCACCACCUCUGCCCUCCACCUCUUGAUAAGCAACAGUGACUCAACUGCCGGGAAGCUAGGAUAGCAGCUCUGCCCCACCCAGACAGUCACUUGCAGUAAAAUGUAUCCGUGUGAUGUGAUUAAUUCUGUAUUCUCUAACAUCACAGACCAUUGUGAAUACGGCCCUUGAACUUCUCCCAAGGGUAAAAUCGCCAAAGGAUAAUGAGCUCCCACACAGC